rnacentral:lncRNA from 1 species
UCUUCUCCAAGCGUCCACUUUAUCACAAUUCAGCUUCACGUACACAAUCAUACUCCUCUUCCCGAGUUUUCUCUCUCCCUUUCUUGCAAUCCCCUGUUUUUGUUUCUCUGUGCCUGCAAAGAGUUUGGUAAAAAUCCAAUAAGGCUGGCAGGGUAGUAUUAAUCUAUGUAAUUCAUCUGAUUUCUUUUUUCUAUUAUUUAGUUCCAGUAAGAAAUAACAAGUUGAGUAGACCGACUAGCCUUUUGCAAUUUAGGUAUUGAAGGAGAUCAUCAUAACUGCUUUUUCUUUCAUGCAAUAGUUCAGGUUUAUUGUUCUUAGUUUUUCUGUAGUAGUUAAUUUGAUUGCUAUGGAUUAAAAUCUAGAGCUACCUUAUAAUACUGCUUGAAAAUAGCUUUGGCUCUUCACACAUGGGAGUAAUAGGACAGUUUGCGUUCCUAACUUUCUUUUCUCUGUAUAUAUAUACAUGGUUUUAGGAUUCUAUUUGUUUGCUACUGAAGCUUAUGUUUUUCUUUUUCAGAAUUGAGUGCGUAUGAACAAUGCAACGGAGGUCAUGUUAACUCCUACAGCCUGAUAUGUUCUUUCGUCUCCUGGUGAUUACUUCGAAUGGUUGUGUGAGGUAAUAGAGCUAAUACCUUUUGUUUCUUCAUCGCUAUAAACCGUGUUUAUUUCAAAACUGAGAGCCAUCAAAUAUAUGCAUUAAUCUCUCUUGGUAUUUUUCCAUCCGACCAACAUUAAUCUAUGUUGAUGUGUUCUAUGCCAAUUCAUUGCCAAUGGAGUGCCAACAUUAAUGUAUAUAAAAUUUAGAUCUAACUUGCAAAACUGUUCUAAUUAUUGUGUGUGUGUGUGUGUGUGUGUGUGGCUGCACAGCUAUGCCGUUCCAGCUGCUCUGUUCUUACUAGGAACACCGAGUUGAGUAGUGGAUCAUGCGGGGAAAAAUCAAACCGGUUCAAAUAAAGAAAUACUCUUCUGAAACUAUGCUCCUCCUAAGAUAAACACACCUCCUGUGCAUAUGGUUGCAGGCUGUAUCCAUGCCAAGAUAGCACCUUGUAUGCAUAAGAUGGACCAUAUUUUGAAUAUAUGAAAAAUCAAUUUAUUUAGUUUUCUUGCUGUCAGAAUAAGACCAUGAAACCAACUUCCAUCAAACACAUAUCUGCAGCAUUAUACUAUGUACAGGCUGCAGAUAUAUAUAUUUGUUGACCAAGCAAUUCCCUUCUUAUGAGUCACCGACCAAUAUAUGAUUACCAGUCACCCAAUUUCCUUCCUAUGAACAUCAUACCGAAAUAUAUAUUCCCUUAUGCUUCAAGGAUUCUAUGAUUGGUCUCUGAAUAUUCUUAUUUGAAUGGUUUGAAAACAUAGUUCACACUCGCCCUUUGCGCCAUUGGCACAACGGGUCAUCUAGUACAUGAACAUCCAAACACAGCGUUAGCUAUUAAAGCUAUUAAUUUUUUUUGCCAAAAAACUCCAGUUUGCUUUGGACUGAUAACAUGGUCUAGACCAUCUCAUCCAUUGUAUCAGAAUGCAAACUUGGUUCUCUUUUUACUCUAUGUUACUACUGCAAUAAAAUUAUGCUUAUUAUAAUUUUUCAGUUCAAGUGAUGAUGAUGUUUUCAUUUCUAUCUUGUCAUUCCAAUGAUAGUGAUUCAUUUUGGUGCACACUUAUAUUUGUCGCUGGUUGCUGCAUGACAUUUCAUGCUGAUAUUUUUAGCUGCUAUAUAUCUCACCAUUGUUCUAAUGUCAUAGUCUAACUCCUUAUUUCUUGUACCUAUGCAAAAUUGAAUAUUGAGACAUAAGACAUAAAAAGAACUCCACGGUACGCCCACUGAUCACAUACCAUCAAAGUAUUAGUGCAUUAUUAAAAUCUGAGUAAAAUGAGGAAACACUUGGUUGUUGAAGUGGUAAAUAAUUUAACAUUGGUCAUCUGUAAUGGUUGGGAUACAGUCAUCCUGUCCUGCUAGUAGGAUUUUGGUUGUUCCAUGAAAGAAAAAAUGUUUCUUUCUUGCUUAACAGCUUGAACAUUAUCCAACAGAUCAUGGCCCAGGUUACUGCUACGGCAUAAGUAGGACUUUGCAAACUGGCAACUGAAAAAGAAGGCUCUAGUAUUCAGCCUGACUCUUGGUGGUAGCGAACAAAAAGUAAAACGGUAGCAAGACUUCAUGUUCCAUCCAAAAUUAGGAGGGGUUAUAUGACUAGCUACCAGACAGAAUUUGACAUAGGAGCGAGGCAGGGUAAUGGUAUAUAGGUGAAUUCACCAUUGAUAUGUUCCUGAGAUCUCGCUCUGUGACCACCAAUUGGAGGUCCUUAAAAUAGCAAGGUAAAAUCUUGUUGUUUCUUAGUAUGAAAACAUACCAUCAAAAUUGACUUCCUACUGUAUGAAUAUUUGAAUAAAUUCACUUUUGAUCCAUUUGCUAACUUGGUAACUGGCCAGCUCAUUAAUAUAGUAUACAUGCAGUCUGCUGAUUUGUCUGUAAACUCUUGCUUUGAGUUGUGAGAUAGAAAUCGCUGAACUGGUGUUUAGGGAUUUUAGUGGAGCACAAUGCUUGCUUAAUUUAAGCAUCAACAUUGAAUUGUUGAUGCACAUGGACUGAUACACCUUUUGACUAUUCAAUCUUGGCAGGAAAUAUGCACUGCUACUUCAAGUUCAGCAUGACAGGUUGAUGUUUAGAAUAUCUUGAAGAAAUG